rnacentral:rRNA from 1 species
CGACCGGUAGCCGACCUGAGAGGGUGAUCGGCCACAUUGGGACUGAGACACGGCCCAAACUCCUACGGGAGGCAGCAGUGGGGAAUAUUGGGCAAUGGAGGAAACUCUGACCCAGCAACGCCGCGUGGAGGAAGAAGGUUUUCGGAUCGUAAACUCCUGUCCUUGGAGACGAGUAGGAGACGGUAUCCAAGGAGGAAGCCCCGGCUAACUACGUGCCAGCAGCCGCGGUAAUACGUAGGGGGCAAGCGUUGUCCGGAAUAAUUGGGCGUAAAGGGCGCGUAGGCGGCUCGGUAAGUCUGGAGUGAAAGUCCUGCUUUUAAGGUGGGAAUUGCUUUGGAUACUGUCGGGCUUGAGUGCAGGAGAGGUUAGUGGAAUUCCCAGUGUAGCGGUGAAAUGCGUAGAGAUUGGGAGGAACACCAGUGGCGAAGGCGACUAACUGGACUGUAACUGACGCUGAGGCGCGAAAGUGUGGGGAGCAAACAGGAUUAGAUACCCUGGUAGUCCACACUGUAAACGAUGAAUGCUAGGUGUAGGGGGUAUCGACCCCUUCUGUGCCGCAGUCAACACAAUAAGCAUUCCGCCUGGGGAGUACGGCCGCAAGGUUGAAACUCAAAGGAAUUGACGGGGGCCCGCACAAGCAGCGGAGCAUGUGGUUUAAUUCGACGCAACGCGAAGAACCUUACCAGGUCUUGACAUCCACUUAAACUUACAGAGAUGUAAGGUGUGCUUGCACAAAGUGAGACAGGUGGUGCAUGGUUGUCGUCAGCUCGUGUCGUGAGAUGUUGGGUUAAGUCCCGCAACGAGCGCAACCCUUAUCUUCAGUUACUAACGCGUAAAGGUGAGGACUCUGAAGAGACUGCCGGGGACAACUCGGAGGAAGGUGGGGACGACGUCAAAUCAUCAUGCCCCUUAUGACCUGGGCUACACACGUGCUACAAUGGCCACGACAGAGAGAAGCGAAAUCGCAAGGUAGAGCGGAACUCAAAAAAGUGGUCCCAGUUCGGAUUGUGGGCUGCAACCCGCCCACAUGAAGUCGGAGUUGCUAGUAAUCGCGGAUCAACAUGCCGCGGUGAAUACGUUCCCGGGCCUUGUACACACCGCCCGUCACACCAUGGGAGUUGGGAGUGCCCAAAGCCGGUGAGGCAACCGCAAGGAGCCAGCCGUCUAAGGCAAGACCAAUGACUGGGGUGAAGUCGUAACAAGGUAGCCGUACUAGUACGUACUUUUG